GCGGGAAGUUUAAAAUUUGACAGUUGUGUUUUCUCGAAUCCGAAUCUUAACCUUACUUUUACAGGUGAUUAUUUGUAUGUAUGUAAAUAAAUUGAAACAAGUCUUGUUUGUAUUAUACUGUUAUUAUUUAAAACUCUAAAUAAUUUAUGUUAGUCUUUUAACAAAAAUGAAGCUCAAAAAACUACACUUGUUUACAGUGCAAAUGAUUUUUUAAUGGCAAGAGGGAUUUAGGAUUUCAUUUGCAGGAAAAACAUGGGCAACCUACCCAGUUGGUAAAAUUGCAAUUCAAAAACUCUUUAGAUUUUACUGUCUGGAUGGCACAGGAAGAGAAACAAAAUAAUGUUCUGUACUGCAGUCACAGGAGUACAUAGUAGAGAUAUAAUAAAAAAGCUGUUCAACAUCACUGGACACCAUUUAAUUUUUAGAAAAUGAAAAGUCUUGAGGUUGAAUGCGAUCUGUAGUAUUGCUACAUAAUGAAUGUGUUUAGAUAUGGUAUUUUUUGUUGAAUAAUCUAUACAGGCCCAACUAAAUAAAUGUAUACAUAUAUUGCAGAAAGUGCAUUUAAUGGAGCAGCAAGUUUUUUUUGUGUUUCAAUGAGGUAUUCAGUUUUUUCUUUUAGUAUAUACACAUUAUCUUGUAAAAUAGCAAGCUAAUACAGUUCGAUAUCUAGACAUUAUAGAGCUUUCAACAGGUUUACCUUUUUUAAGUUAAAUAAACAAUAACAACCGAUUUUUCAAUGGCCAUAUUAUUGGUAUUAAUUCCAUAACCCUUCCUAUAACAAUAGUCCCAUUGUUGGAAGUUAUUGCAGUAGUUCUGCUGGAAAUACUUACCAAAGUUGUAUGUAUCUAUAUCAUUCAUCAGAAAUUUCAUUAAGAUUUACUUGCCAUGCCCUCUCUAUGUACCAGGGACAUAACAGUCUAGUAGGAACAGAAAACAUUACGUUCAGGCAUUGUAAAAAGUGUUAUGUCUGACAUGAAAAUAUUUGACUAUAUAAUACCAGAACGCUCAUGUAUUUUUUCAAAAAAAGUGGGUAAAUAAAAGUAUCUUUUCUAUUUGAACAUAAGAAAACAAUGGGAAAUUCAUACUGUCAUAAGUUCAAAGUGAUAGGAAAUGAGCCCAUGAGUUCCAUAAAUUGCGAUUUACCAAACUUAAUUAAUAUUUCCUUUUGCACAGCAUUCAUGGAAAUACUUAAGACAAAAAUCAUUAUUGUUAAAUUCGGGAUGAUUAUCAAUUAGUAUGCCCUGUUGGUUGUAAAAUAAUAUUGGACAUGAGCCAGUCUGUAAGCAUUCAAUUACCCAUAAAUGAACACUGGUUGCGCCUACAUCCAUCUUUCAAAUCAAUGUCAUAGGAGUGUUUAAUGUUCGUGUUAUCUUGUCUUGUAAGUAAAUCAACUCUCAAUAAUAUUUAAAAAAUGGACUAGUGGUAACAUUUUUGUUUUAAAUUAUAUUGUGUAUAUGCAAAUAUUUUACUUACAUUUUUGAAUAUGCCCAUGUGUUUUAAAAUAAUAAAUGUUACUGCACAACAAUCAGUUUGAAUAUUUUUAGAUAUGUACUAGUAUUUGAUUAGUACACGAAAUGCAGCAGACAUGUUCUCUCUUCUAUCUUAAGAGCUGAUUUAAUCUCUACUUGUAUCUGUAAAGUUUAUCAUUUUUCCCAUAGCCAAUUUUAACACUCCCGGUUCCUCAACGUCUAUAUCCAAACCUGUUACGAUCACAUUAUCAUAUUUCUCUUCUCGUUCUCUAGGUAAUCUAGUCUAGUAAUUAAUUCUCGAACUGUCUUGUUUGUAUUAAAUAUCUUAAUUAUGUACUUAUUUUAUUUUUAUAAUGAAAAUUAAUAAAUUAACCAUAUGCAGCACAGCAAACAAAUGUUUUCGGAAAUAUAUUUAUAAGAAUUUAAUUGCCUCUUUUUUUGUAUAGGUACGACAUAGUAAGUAAAAACUAUUACAUUUAUUAAUAUAAUAUUUAUUAUUAUACAUAAGUAAAAACUAUUUUUAUAGCUAGGAAUUACUUUAUUAAAUGGUCUUAAACCUGUUCAUAAAUUUUGUUACUAUAUUUUUUAAUUCUGAUUAUAACAAUAAUAACUUUUUAGUUUAGAUUUAGGUCAAAGUGUGUAAUGUCAUGUUUUAUGUAUUUUUUAACCCUAACACAUUUGUAUGUAGCAAAUCAUAUUUGUUAUUCUUAUCUUAUUUUAAUUAUAUUCAUUUAAGUUUUGAUUUAAUGAAAUAAACCUAUCAGUCAAAAAACUGUUGUUUAGUUGUGUACACCCAAAAACUAGCUUGAUGUAAUACAGAUGUCAAUUGAAUAUGACAUAAAUCCACGUCAUAAAGACGUCUUUCUAUGGUCAAAAUGUCAGCCUAAAGACGUCAUUUAUUAUGUCUUAUGUCACAAAAUUACCACAAUAAAACGUUAAAUAUAAAAUUGCUCAAUUUAAUGUCAUUCAAGUUCGAUGUGAUGUAUAGGGUUUUUCAUCAACAGUCAUUUGU